rnacentral:rRNA from 1 species
GACGAACGCUGGCGGCGUGCUUAACACAUGCAAGUCGAACGGUGAAAGCGGAGCUUGCUCCGCUGGAUCAGUGGCGAACGGGUGAGUAACACGUGAGCAAUCUGCCCUUGACGCUGGGAUAACUGCGGGAAACUGUAGCUAAUACCGGAUACGAGGCUCGAAGGCAUCUUCGGGUCUGGAAAGAAUUUCGGUCAAGGAUGAGCUCGCGGCCUAUCAGCUUGUUGGUGAGGUAAUGGCUCACCAAGGCGACGACGGGUAGCCGGCCGGGGAGGGUGACCGGCCACACUGGGACUGAGAAACGGCCCAGACUCCUACGGGAGGCAGCAGUGGGGAAUAUUGCACAAUGGGCGAAAGCCUGAUGCAGCAACGCCGCGUGAGGGAUGAAGGCCUUCGGGUUGUAAACCUCUUUUAGCAGGGAAGAAGCGAAAGUGACGGUACCUGCAGAAAAAGCACCGGCUAACUACGUGCCAGCCGCCGCCGUAA